GUCCGGGGAGUCGCUAGGGGUCGGAAACGACUCGACGGCAUUUGAAGAAGAAGAUGGACGAUAAAUACUUUGGCAUUGUGAAUUACAUGCUUAAGAUACAUCUAAAAUCGUUCCCAGUCCACACGGUUUGGCUUCCGUUGCGUGGACGCCAAUGAUCAGUCCGAAAGGUGGCCAGGAACCUCCCCGGCGAACGUCGGCACGACGCGGAAGACUCCAAAUCAUCCGUCGAAGGUAUCAUCCGACGGGAGAGGAGACGUUUGUCGGGGCGGCGGCAACCUAGUGUUCGAACAACCCGGAAUCGGGGGGAUUUUUCUAGUCCUUUUCUUUUGGAGCGUCACGACCAGAGUUCGAGCGAUGAAGAAUUCGACGGUAUGAUCUGGAUCCGUUCAGGCUGGAAGGAAGAUUAACGACGGGAGGAAUUGGAACCGGAGCGAAUCGACGGUUUCGUCCACGUGUCGUCCGGAGAGCGGCUUCCCGUCAGAUCACGCGGGAGUUGACGUCGCUUCCCGGUGUGCUCGCCUGCUUCUGGUUCAAGGAGUUUCUUUCUUCCGUCUCGGCUCCCUUCUAGGGAGGGAGGGGGAGAUCCGGAAGUCAAGGGAGGAAGACCCUAAGGCGCACAGAUGCGUCUAACACAUAGUAAACGUUCAUCAUCGUCGUUAGUAUCAUCAAUCCAAGUUGGCGACGCCGCGACGUCAACCGUUAGCUCGAACGGGGAGGUGCGGAGCAAAAAGGAUCACGUCCCGGCCCUCCGUGGGAAGGCAGCGUUUAGCCGAGGCCACGUCCACACGGAACAGAAGCGUGCUUAGAAUCGACGGCAAUAACGGGAGGCGACCGCUUCAGAUUUCAGACUUCGAGAGCGCGGGAAGCGGCUGCCGCGUCCGGGUGUAGAAACUACGGGAAGUUGGGAUCUUUUUUGUUUCCCGCUCCCCCAGAAAGCGCCUUUUCUAAAUGAGCCGAUUCGAUUCAGCUUCCACCGGGAGCCGGCCAGGCCUCGAUUUUAAAUUGCAGAAUUUACCGAGAGACCCGACUGCUGGGAAAAGUCUUAAAAUGUCCUGCAUUUCCUCCUCGCAGCUGCCGCGUUAAGCUGCCUUCUUCAGCGCUGAAAUAAAUCAAAAUCCUCUCGCGA